rnacentral:rRNA from 1 species
GGCUAACGCUGGCGGCGUGUCUUAGCCAUGCAAGUCGAGCGGACUUAUGGGGUAACUUAUAAGUCAGCGGCGGACGGCGGAGUAACACGUAGCUAACCUACCCUCUGGACGGGGAUAACCUACCGAAAGGUGGGCUAAUACCCGAUGUAGUCAUCCUGUAUAGGGGUGAUGAAAGGUGGGCUUCUGUUUACAAGCUCAUGCUGGAGGAGGGGGCUGCGGCCUAUCAGGUAGUUGGUAGGGUAAUAGCCUACCAAGCCGAUGACGGGUAGCCGGCCUGAGAGGGUGACCGGCCCGAGGGGCACUGAGAUACGGGUCCCACUCCUACGGGAGGCAGCAGGCUAGAAAUUUGGGCAAUGGGGGAAACCCUGACCCAGUGACGCCGCGUGCAGGAAGGAGCCCUUCGGGUGUAACGUAGCUGUCGUGUAGGGAGAAGGGUACGUAAGGUGAACAAUACUUAGUACUUGACGGUACGUACAGGAGGAAGGACCCGACGGCGUAACCUACCGUUGCCAGCCGAGACCGCCGGUAAACGGUACGUACGUACGUACGAACGUGAC